rnacentral:rRNA from 1 species
GGAGGGGGCAAGCGUUAUUCGGAUUUACUGGGCGUAAAGCGCACGUAGGUGGCAUGGUAAGUCAAAGGUGAAAGCCCUCGGCUCAACCGAGGAAUUGCCUUUGAAACUGCCUUGCUUGAGUCCGGGAGGGGGGAGCGGAAUUCCCAGUGUAGCGGUGAAAUGCGUAGAUACUGGGAGGAACACCGGUGGCGAAGGCGGCUCCCUGGACCGGUGCUGACACUGAGGUGCGAAAGCGUGGGUAGCAAACAGGAUUAGAUACCCUGGUAGUCCACGCCGUAAACGAUGGGCACUAGGUGCAGCGGGUGUCGACCCCCCUGCUGUGCCCGUAGUUAACGCAUUAAGUGCCCCGCCUGGGGAGUACGGUCGCAAGGCUG